rnacentral:sRNA from 1 species
AUAGUCAGUGGUAAAAUACCACUUGCUGAUUUUAAUGAGGAGAGCAAUUUGAGCCUAAAUGAAGACGGUUCCUGUGUUUUUCCGCAUGGAGACAAGUGACUGUUGUGUGUGCUGUUUGCAGUGACAAGGUGCAGUCGCUGUGCUACCUUCAGCUCACCAGGCAGCUCGUCUCCUGUUCCUCGGACGGCGGAAUUGCGGUGUGGAACAUGGAUGUUAGCAGAGAAGAGGCUCCUCAGUGGUUGGAAAGUGAUUCUUGUCAGAAAUGUGAGCAGCCAUUUUUCUGGAACAUAAAGCAGAUGUGGGACACC